rnacentral:rRNA from 1 species
UACGUAGGGCGCAAGCGUUGUCCGGAAUUAUUGGGCGUAAAGAGCUCGUAGGCGGCUUGUCACGUCGGAUGUGAAAGCCCGGGGCUUAACCCCGGGUCUGCAUUCGAUACGGGCUAGCUAGAGUGUGGUAGGGGAGAUCGGAAUUCCUGGUGUAGCGGUGAAAUGCGUAGAUAUCUGGAGGAACACCGGUGGCGAAGGCGGCAUCCUGGACCGGCAUUGACGCUGAGGCGCGAAAGCUAGGGGAGCAAACGGG